rnacentral:rRNA from 1 species
GAUGAACGCUAGCGGCAGGCCUAACACAUGCAAGUCGAGGGGUAGAUAUCUUCGGAUAUUGAGACCGGCGCACGGGUGCGUAACGCGUAUGCAAUCUACCUUGUACAGAGGGAUAGCCCAGAGAAAUUUGGAUUAAUACCUCAUAGUAUUAUUGAAUGGCAUCAUUUGAUAAUUAAAGUUCUAACGGUACAAGAUGAGCAUGCGUCCUAUUAGCUAAUUGGUGUGGUAACGGCAUACCAAGGCUACGAUAGGUAGGGGUCCUGAGAGGGAGAUCCCCCACACUGGUACUGAGACACGGACCAGACUCCUACGGGAGGCAGCAGUGAGGAAUAUUGGACAAUGGGCGCAAGCCUGAUCCAGCCAUGCCGCGUGCAGGAAGACGCAUCUAUGGUGUGUAAACUGCUUUUGUACGGGAAGAAACACUCCCUCGUGAGGGAGCUUGACGGUACCGUAAGAAUAAGGAUCGGCUAACUCCGUGCCAGCCGCCGCGGUAAUAC